CCUACGGGUGGCAGCAGUGGGGAAUAUUGGGCAAUGGAGGCAACUCUGACCCAGCAACGCCGCGUGAAGGAAGAAGGCCUUAGGGUUGUAAACUUAUGUUGUAAAGGAAGAAAAGAAUGACGGUACUUUACAAGAAAGCCCCGGCUAACUAUGUGCCAGUAGCCGCGGUAAGACAUAGGGGGCAAGCGUUGUUCGGAAUUACUGGGCGUAAAGGGAGCGUAGGCGGGAGAUUAAGUUAAGAGUGAAAGCCUUGGGCUCAACCCCAUCCAGCCGUUGAAACUGGGGAUCUAGAGUGUGCGAGAGGUAUGCGGAAUGCGUGGUGUAGCGGUGAAAUGCAUAGAUAUCACGCAGAACCCCGAUUGCGAAGGCAGCAUACCGGUGCACAACUGACGCUCAGGCACGAAAGCGUGGGUAUCGAACAGGAUUAGAUACCCUAGUAGUC
rnacentral:rRNA from 1 species